AUGAAACACUCCUACGGGAGGCAGCAGUGGGGAAUUUUGGACAAUGGGGGCAACCCUGAUCCAGCAAUGCCGCGUGAGUGAAGAAGGCCUUCGGGUUGUAAACCCCUUUCAGGAGGGACGAAGGUCGGGCGGUGAAUAGCCGACCCGACUGACGGUACCUCCAGAAGAAGCCCCGGCUAACUACGUGCCAGCAGCCGCGGUAAUACGUAGGGGGCAAGCGUUGUCCGGAAUUACUGGGCGUAAAGCGUGCGCAGGCGGUUGUGUAAGUCAGAUGUGAAAUCCCCGGGCUCAACCUGGGAAUUGCAUUUGAGACUGCACGGCUAGAGUGUGUCAGAGGGGGGUAGAAUUCCACGUGUAGCAGUGAAAUGCGUAGAUAUGUGGAGGAAUACCGAUGGCGAAGGCAGCCCCCUGGGAUAACACUGACGCUCAUGCACGAAAGCGUGGGGAGCAAACAGGAUUAGAUACCCGUGUAUUCCGAAGUUC
rnacentral:rRNA from 1 species